rnacentral:rRNA from 1 species
GACGAACGCUGGCGGCGUGCUUAACACAUGCAAGUCGAACGGAAAGGCCCUGCUUUUGUGGGGUGCUCGAGUGGCGAACGGGUGAGUAACAAGUGAGUAACCUGCCCUUGACUUUGGGAUAACUUCAGGAAACUGGGGCUAAUACCGGAUAGGAGCUCCUGCUGCAUGGUGGGGGUUGGAAAGUUUCGGCGGUUGGGGAUGGACUCGCGGCUUAUCAGCUUGUUGGUGGGGUAGUGGCUUACCAAGGCUUUGACGGGUAGCCGGCCUGAGAGGGUGACCGGCCACAUUGGGACUGAGAUACGGCCCAGACUCCUACGGGAGGAAGCAGUGGGGAAUAUUGCACAAUGGGCGGAAGCCUGAUGCAGCAACGCCGCGUGCGGAAUAACGGCCUUCGGGUUGUAACCCGCUUUCGCCUGUGACGAGGCGUGAGUGACGGUAAUGGGUAAAGAAGCACCGGCUAACUACGUG